ACUUUUCUUUGUGCAUUCACACGAUGCAUUUUCUUUUCUUAUCACCAAACUGUUUUGAAAGAUAAAAGUACUUCCUGAAUAUGUGGAUGGUGAGCCACGUGAAUGGAAGACAUGGAGAUAUGGACUGUUAACACCUUGUCAAACAUUUAUUGUCCCUUCCACCUCUAAACUUCUGUGAUAAUAGGUGAACAGGACCCACGUGGUGCAGAAUACUGCGAUACACACUGCGGAAUAAUUCAGAAGAAAGAGACAUUAUACAAAUGCAAGCUGUUGUCACAACAAUGAUAAGAAAUCAGGAGUCGAAAGAUGUGGAGUAAGGGGGAAUUUCAGAGAAACCACAAAACACAAAAUAGGAAACAGAGACAGGAGAAGAUUGCUAUGACAAAAUUGCAGAAGGUGAAAUCUUUGGCAGCCUCUUAUUUCUCUGGAGAAUAUGAUAUUGUCAGGCUGAGGUGGAAGAAUCACAUGGUCAUACUGUUGAAGAGGUCUUGAAACAUUGGGCUUUCCUCUACAAGCGGAAGGAUAGCACUGGCAGCCAUCCACUGGCCCAGCAAUAUCCUGGAUUGAGACGAUAUCAUUUGCAUUACUUGCUGAAUGAAACAUAGUGAAAAUGACUGCAGAUAACCUCAACUAAGUCCAAGAUAUCAUUUUCAAAUCUGGACCAGCCCUUGCCAUCUAGACUGAACAGAGAUUCCAGUUUCCAGGAGAGUAGAUGGAGUAAUGAUAAAAGCACCUCCCAAAACUUUUGCCUUGCUCCAUCAAAACUUAUAAAAUCUUGGGAAGAGGAACUGUGGCCCAUCACUGAUCAUUUCAUCUAUUAAGUGACCACUUAUUGUCUUAUAAUAGGAGAUGUUCUGGAAACAUGCAUUGAAUCGAAGUGGCUUUGAGGAAGCAUGAAGAGAAAACAGGAUGGCAUCCUUUUGGCACCAUUUCUUAUGCUAUAAUAAGGAUUCCUUCUGUUUACACAUAAAACAGAAGAGUUUAAUCACCCCAGCAAUCUUUAACUUGGUAAUGAAGGCCAUAAAUUAAAUUUUAAGCAAAGUUAAAGAAGAUGAGAUGAAAUAUAAAACAAAAACAUCAUCAGAAUCUGCCCAGGAACAAUAUUCUUGACACCAAACCAUGACAUUAUGGGGCUCAGUUGUUUGUUUCUAGGGCAGCCCCUUGUUUUAUGUGCCAAAUAGCAUUUCCCUAAAUAAAACUGCAUGGAACAAAA
rnacentral:lncRNA from 1 species